UGUCACUACAUCAGGAUGUAGUGAAGAAAUGUGCAUUUCUUAUAUAGUUUGAAGAGUCUUAUUAUGAGACUACCAGCGUCUUAAUAUGCCUACCAGCAUAUCUUGGGGGCUAUUGUUUACUUUAAGAUUAUACUACUAGUCACAGAGACAGGAAGUUCUUUGUUCUUCUCCACCUAUGUUCUGGGAGAAGCAAACCCCAGUCAUUCUGAAUGUCGAAGUGAUGCAGUAAGGUCCGAGUUACAUAACAUUGCAGCAGAAAGUUUUAGUUAUUUUGUGGAACAAACUACAGGCCCAAUUCGGUAAGAAUACGAUAUCUAUUUCUAUAUAUGUUAUUUGAUAUACUAGAAGGCUAGGAUGUAUCUUGAUAUAAUCUCAGUUGAGUUUGGUAGAAUUUUAUAGGAGUUUUGUAAAGAUGAUGUUAGAUGUUGUACCUAGCUUUUAGGAGUAGACAAAGAGAUGAGUGUGUAUAAUGUAUAGUGUAGAAAGCCGAGUUCUUUGUCUUUGUCAGCAGAAGUUACAGUACAUUUAAGUGUUUCAAAGUAGCAAAGAUUCUGCUACUAUGUAGAUGAUAACUUGUUUAUUAUAUAUAUAGUUCAUGUCAAAUUUAGAGCAAAACUAAGUGUUUAGGAAAGAAACAAUUUUCUUUGUUAGUUAUUUAACAUAGGAACUUAAGUGACGAACCGCGUCUGAAUGCGGCCCUGUUCACACUCAUGUAUGUUUGCUUGUGUGUACUGUUUAAUAGUUUACUGCAUAGUUUCAAUGCAGGGUGUGUUCACAUAGAUAUUUAAUCCAGUUUAACUUUAAUCUUGUGUCAUAUAUUAAUGUGUUGUAAUCAGUAUCUUUAAUUUAGCUAUAGGGUUUUUAUAUGCUUACAUGCUGAAACAUUUAUUCAUUAUUUGUUUGUUUGUUUAUUAUCAUUACAGAUUGUUAUCUGAAGGUUUACCGGAGAUAGUAAUUAACCUGAAGGUUUACCGGAGAUAUGAAAGUGAAGUUACGAGUUGCUGAAUAAAACAGAAGUUGGUUGGACUUUAGCAAAUUGUUUCCAGUGUUAAUUUUCAUCGGUGUGCCUUGUGAAUAACAACAGUUGGAUUUAUUGUUAGACGAAACUCCUUCAUAUAAAGAUUUAUGAAGGCAGCCACAAUAACAAUCGAAGCCUGUUAUUCGAAGUCGAAUAACAAGCGAAGUUCCACAAUAACGAAUGAAGUUCGAAUGACAAACGAACAUCAAUUAUAAGACUUUUUGCAGCCGUUUAAUGAACUUGUAAGCAGACCUAGGUUUAUAAAGGCCUGAAGUCAUGCCUUUAUCAGAGCCUGUAUUGCGACGUGAAACGACGACAGAGAGGAAUCCCACAUCGAAGGCUAGAAGUCUGGCUGGUGUUAAGUUCACCAAGAGCGAUGUGGAAGCAGGACAAUAUGAUGCAGUCAUCAUGAAGGCUACACGUGUAGCGAGCUCACGGAUGUAUCGUGAGAGUGUGAGGUUAGAACUAGCUGUCAUGGAACAGCAGGACAGGCUAGAUGCUGUAAAAGUUCAGAUGGAGGAACGAAAGAUACAACAGCACGACAGGCUUGAUGCUCUAAAGGCUGAGCAAGAGCAUGCUAGGAGAGUCCGGAAUGAGAAACGAAAGCUAAUACAGCUGAAGCUGAGUCUGCUGAGAAAGAAGUCGGCUGACAAAAGAAAUAGAUUAGAAAGAGAGGAAGAGAGUGACAGCUCUGAAGCUGUCAUCAAAGAUGUCAAAUUGCCAAAGGAACAGCCAGGGGAUUCCGUCCAUGGAUUGGCAGUUGGCACAACAACACCUAUUCUUGAUAGAACUUCUAACCAGACAGGUUUUGAAACGAUGGCAGAGUCCAUGGCCCAUGUGCAACAAAACGUGCUAACGCAGAGACUUGCUGUUGCGAGUCAAGUUCCAAAGUUGGAGAUACCGGUAUUUAGCGGCGUUGCUGACGGUCAUCGAGCCAAGGACUGCACUGAGAGGAAGGUUUGCAAGAUUUGUGAAGGGUGUCCCCUUGCCUGCCUGCAUACAUGUAAGCCAACCGAGAACCAGAUAAAUCCACCCGAGGAAGCCGCAUCCAAGUACACCAAUGUCUGCGCUCCUCAAGACAAAGAUGAACAGGAGCACUGUAUGAUUGUGCCAGACUGGGUGAGGUGCAAGGAUGAUCAGCGUAAUGUAGGCUUCGUUUCGGACGAACUGUGUGAGCAGUUAGGAGUACAGGGAACUGAUACUACCCUGAGGCUCACCACCAUGCACGCAACGGCCAAUGUCAGGAGCAUGAAGGUGAGCGGUUUACAGGUGUUGGACUUCAAUAGGGAGAACAAGAUUGACCUACCCCCGUGCUUCUCUAGAGAGUCUAUUCCAGGUAUCAGAACCCAGAUCCCAAGGAGUGAAGGCUUGAAGGAGUGGCCUCAUCUUGAGCCAGUUGCUCAUGAGUUGAUGCCAUACAACAGGAGCGUCAAGGUAUCGCUCUUAAUUGGAAAUAACUGUCCCCGAGCCAUCCGCCCUCGAGAGGUGAUAGCAGGAGGAGAAGAUGACCCGUAUGCCAUUAAGACAGCACUUGGAUGGGGAGUAGUUGGCAAUGUCUGCCAGACGUCGGUGCAGGAGGAUGGUGUUCAGAUCUGCAAUAGGAUAUCUGCAAUUGAGAUGCAGCCAGAGUUUGCCUAUGAGAGUAAGGCCAAGGAGAUCAUGGACACUGAGAAAGGCAUCCAGUUUCCGAAAGAUAGCUACAAGGACUCAAGUGCAGAUGGUGAGCUGUACUCCGUGGAGGAGAUGGAAUUCAAGGAGAUCUUGGAGAGUGGUGCCCGCAGAUGUGACAACGGCCACUAUGAGAUGCCAUUACCUCCGAAGUCUGCAAAGCCAAACCUUUCCUUCAACGAGCCACUUCCCUUGAAGAGAUGGAAGCAGCUGCCUGGGAGGUUGCGGAAGAACCCAAAAUUUGGUGGAGACUACAGAGCAUUCAUGGAUGACGUCAUCCAGAAUUAUGCACCGAGAGUACCUCCAGCAGUUACAGCCCUGUCAGAAGUGGACGCGAGUGCAGCGAGACAUGGCCAUCAGCGAUGUAGUCAUCGUGAAGGAGACUGCGGACGUCCAGUGGCCUCUAGCAAGAGUAGCAGAAGUUUUCCUAGUCAAGACGGACGCGUUAGAAAAGGUAAAGCUCCUCAUGGUUGAUGGAACGCUGAACAGUAAUGGUAAACGUCUGAAGAAACCUUGUUACCUUGAUAGACCCGUCCACAAACUCGUGUUACUACUGCCGGUAGAGUCUUAGGAAUAAUUAGUUCUGUUGUUAAUAACAGAGAUGUAAAACUAAUCGUGACCUGUCUUUUUCUUUCCAUUUCUCUUUCUUUCUCAAUCACUUUCUCACUUUCUCAUUCAUUCCCUCUUUCUAGAUUUCUACCUUUAUCUUAGUUUCAUGACCUUUACGUUUCUUGUUGUUUUAUCCUAUAUUUGCAAACAAGUUUGUCAUUAUCACGCAGAAGACAGUAGGGAUUCCCCCUCAAGGAGCCUUUAUCUCAUUGUUGUAUAUUUUUCUGAUGUCAGAAGUGUCCUCAUUCGCACAUAUGUAGCCAUGCGGUUAUUAACGAAAGGUGUUGAUUAAGUUUACUUCGUAUACAUGUUAGUUACAUGUCAGGUGUAUUACACUUAUUUUGAUUGAUUACCAAUCAAGCAGUAGUUAGAGCAUUAAUGGGUUAAGUUGAUAUAUCUUAUGCAUUGUAGAUAAUGUUCAUGAAAGUUACAUGAAUGAUGAAUGAUCGUUAGAGGUUAAUGUUGUUCCUUGGUAGUAAUAGUAGUGCAGUAUGUCUAUCUAUGUUGUAGCGUAGUCUUAAAUUUGGAUAUUAACAGUUAUUUUAGUAAAUGUUACUAACAUUUAAAGGAGCCAUGUCACUACAUCAGGAUGUAGUGAAGAAAUGUGCAUUUCUUAUAUAGUUUGAAGAGUCUUAUUAUGAGACUACCAGCGUCUUAAUAUGCCUACCAGCAUAUCUUGGGGGCUAUUGUUUACUUUAAGAUUAUACUACUAGUCACAGAGACAGGAAGUUCUUUGUUCUUCUCCACCUAUGUUCUGGGAGAAGCAAACCCCAGUCAUUCUGAAUGUCGAAGUGAUGCAGUAAGGUCCGAGUUACAUAACAUUGCAGCAGAAAGUUUUAGUUAUUUUGUGGAACAAACUACAGGCCCAAUUCGAUUGUUAUCUGAAGGUUUACCGGAGAUAGUAAUUAACCUGAAGGUUUACCGGAGAUAUGAAAGUGAAGUUACGAGUUGCUGAAUAAAACAGAAGUUGGUUGGACUUUA